GAGGCCUACCAUGGUGGUAACGGGUAACGGGGUGUUAGGGCACGACACCGGAGAGGGAGCCUGAGAAACGGCUACCACAUCCAAGGAUGGCAGCAGGCGCGCAAAUUACCCAAUCCCGACACGGGGAGGUAGUGACAAUAAAUAACAAUACGGGGUUCUUUAGGAUCUCGUAAUUGGAAUGAGUACAAUUUAAAUCUCUUAACGAGGAACAAUUGGAGGGCAAGUCUGGUGCCAGCAGCCGCGGUAAUUCCAGCUCCAAUAGCGUAUAUUAAAGUUGUUGCAGUUAAAAAGCUCGUAGUUGAAUUUCGGGGUUAGUAGGUUGGUCAUGCCUCUGGUAUGUACUGGUCUCACUGAUUCCUCCUUCCUUAUGAACCGUAAUGCCAUUAAUUUGGUGUUGCGGGGAAUUUGGGCUGUUACUUUGAAAAAAUUAGAGUGUUUAAAGCAAGCUAACGCUUGAAUACAUUAGCAUGGAAUAAUGAAAUAGGACGUUCGAUCUUAUUUUGUUGGUUUCUAGGAUUGACGUAAUGAUUAAUAGGGAUAGUUGGGGGCAUUAGUAUUCAAUUGUCAGAGGUGAAAUUCUUGGAUUUAUUGAAGACUAACUACUGCGAAAGCAUUUGCCAAGGAUGUUUUCAUUAAUCAAGAACGAAAGUUAGGGGAUCGAAGACGAUCAGAUACCGUCGUAGUCUUAACCAUAAACUAUGCCGACUAGGGAUCGGAUGA
rnacentral:rRNA from 1 species